rnacentral:rRNA from 1 species
AGCUAAUACCGCGUAAUAUCUAUGGAUUAAAGGGUGGGACUUUCGGGCCACCUGCCAUAAGAUGAGCCCAAGUGGGAUUAGGUAGUUGGUUAGGUAAAGGCUGACCAAGCCGACGAUCUCUAGCUGGUCUGAGAGGAUGACCAGCCACACUGGAACUGAGACACGGUCCAGACUCCUACGGGAGGCAGCAGUGGGGAAUAUUGCACAAUGGGGGGAACCCUGAUGCAGCCAUGCCGCGUGAAUGAAGAAGGCCUUCGGGUUGUAAAGUUCUUUCGGUAGCGAGGAAGGUAUCAAAUUUAAUAGAUUUGGUAAUUGACGUUAACUACAGAAGAAGCACCGGCUAACUCCGUGCCAGCAGCCGCGGUAAUACGGAGGGUGCGAGCGUUAAUCGGAAUAACUGGGCGUAAAGGGCACGCAGGCGGUUGAUUAAGUGAGAUGUGAAAGCCCCGGGCUUAACCUGGGAAUUGCAUUUCAUACUGGUCAACUAGAGUACUUUAGGGAGGGGUAGAAUUCCACGUGUAGCGGUGAAAUGCGUAGAGAUGUGGAGGAAUACCGAAGGCGAAGGCAGCCCCUUGGGAAUGUACUGACGCUCAUGUGCGAAAGCGUGGGGAGCAAACAGGAUUAGAUACCCUGGUAGUCCACGCUGUAAACGCUGUCGAUUUGGGGAUUGGGCUUUAAGUCUGGUGCCCGAAGCUAACGUGAUAAAUCGACCGCCUGGGGAGUACGGCCGCAAGGUUAAAACUCAAAUGAA